rnacentral:misc_RNA from 1 species
GAAUGCAUCACCCAUGAGAAGAGCACCAGGAGUAGGAUGAGGAGCAGCUGGCAUGCUUCGGUUGGGCAUUGUCCUGAUGUUUCCUUUAUCAAUUGCAGCAAUGAAUGCAUCUUUUAUCUCAGGAGGGACCUGGGGAGCAACUACACUUUUCAAAUAUUUGGCCAUUUCACCAUUCGAAAUAGAAGGCACUUUUUGACCAGGUACAUCAACCAGACAGCGGACUUCAGUACUGCUUAUGGGAUAGAACAAGAUAGGUGACGGAUCAGCCAAAAUGACAUGUCCGUGAUUUUCAUGUGGAAGCUGACAGUUCUCCAGGACCAGACCAACAAAACAAGACGGGACUUCUACCUUUGGAUCACAGAGGGUACGUCGCAGAUUCGAGAAACAACCAUCACAUACUACAGUUAAUGGUGCAUAUGCUUUCAACUCUUCACCGGAUUUAGUCUUGUACUGAACACCUCUAAUGAUCCCCUUUUCUUCAAGCAGAGACGUAACAGUGCCUUGCUCGAGUUUGACAUUGGGAAGAGCUGCAGCUUUCUCUCGCAUUCUUUGAAUGAAACGCCCAUUGUGGAAGCUCCUUCCAGAAACAUCAGAGUGAAAUUUCUCCAGGGGAUAAGAAAGACGUGUACUCUUUCCAUCCUUGAAAAGGGCAUACCCAAAAACGCGUUGAGCAUCAAUUUUCUCAACACAAUCUUCCAAUCCCAACUCCUGCAAUUUGAGAUAACCACCCGGUUGUAGGAGUUCUCCAACAAUUCGAUCAGGCUCCGUCAAAUCUCUUUCAAUUACUUUUACACGACGCCCCUCCUUGCCAAGAGUGUGAGCAAGAGCAGCACCGGCAACACCGGCACCGACGAUGAUGAUAUCAACGUCUUCGUUUCCAUCCUUUGAUCUGGACUCUCCAUUAUACAGCGUAGUUGUAGUGGUGCUAGUUGCCGAGCCAUCAUUUUUACUUUUGCUACGACCAAUGAAAAAACAGAAAACUGCAACGAACCCCAACACCACUACAAGAAGAGAUCCGAAGAGACCUAAAUCCACCAUUGUCGCCGGCGACAAUGCAGAAAAAGGACGGGAGACGGGAACGGAGCAAGAGAAACGACGACGUUGCUUCUCUAACAAUGCCCGUGAAUCUCUAUAUAUAUCUAAAAAUGAAAAUAGAAAGAGUAGUAUUAUUAGGCUGUAUCUG